AUCCUGGCUCAGAUUGAACGCUGGCGGCAGGCCUAACACAUGCAAGUCGAGCGGUAGCACAGAGAGCUUGCUCUCGGGUGACGAGCGGCGGACGGGUGAGUAAUGUCUGGGAAACUGCCUGAUGGAGGGGGAUAACUACUGGAAACGGUAGCUAAUACCGCAUAACGUCGCAAGACCAAAGUGGGGGACCUUCGGGCCUCAUGCCAUCAGAUGUGCCCAGAUGGGAUUAGCUAGUAGGUGGGGUAACGGCUCACCUAGGCGACGAUCCCUAGCUGGUCUGAGAGGAUGACCAGCCACACUGGAACUGAGACACGGUCCAGACUCCUACGGGAGGCAGCAGUGGGGAAUAUUGCACAAUGGGCGCAAGCCUGAUGCAGCCAUGCCGCGUGUGUGAAGAAGGCCUUCGGGUUGUAAAGCACUUUCAGCGGGGAGGAAGGCGAUAAGGUUAAUAACCUUGUCGAUUGACGUUACCCGCAGAAGAAGCACCGGCUAACUCCGUGCCAGCAGCCGCGGUAAUACGGAGGGUGCAAGCGUUAAUCGGAAUUACUGGGCGUAAAGCGCACGCAGGCGGUCUGUCAAGUCGGAUGUGAAAUCCCCGGGCUCAACCUGGGAACUGCAUUCGAAACUGGCAGGCUAGAGUCUUGUAGAGGGGGGUAGAAUUCCAGGUGUAGCGGUGAAAUGCGUAGAGAUCUGGAGGAAUACCGGUGGCGAAGGCGGCCCCCUGGACAAAGACUGACGCUCAGGUGCGAAAGCGUGGGGAGCAAACAGGAUUAGAUACCCUGGUAGUCCACGCCGUAAACGAUGUCGAUUUGGAGGUUGUGCCCUUGAGGCGUGGCUUCCGGAGCUAACGCGUUAAGUCGACCGCCUGGGGAGUACGGCCGCAAGGUUAAAACUCAAAUGAAUUGACGGGGGCCCGCACAAGCGGUGGAGCAUGUGGUUUAAUUCGAUGCAACGCGAAGAACCUUACCUACUCUUGACAUCCAGAGAACUUAGCAGAGAUGCUUUGGUGCCUUCGGGAACUGUGAGACAGGUGCUGCAUGGCUGUCGUCAGCUCGUGUUGUGAAAUGUUGGGUUAAGUCCCGCAACGAGCGCAACCCUUAUCCUUUGUUGCCAGCGGUUCGGCCGGGAACUCAAAGGAGACUGCCAGUGAUAAACUGGAGGAAGGUGGGGAUGACGUCAAGUCAUCAUGGCCCUUACGACCAGGGCUACACACGUGCUACAAUGGCAUAUACAAAGAGAAGCGACCUCGCGAGAGCAAGCGGACCUCAUAAAGUAUGUCGUAGUCCGGAUUGGAGUCUGCAACUCGACUCCAUGAAGUCGGAAUCGCUAGUAAUCGUAGAUCAGAAUGCUACGGUGAAUACGUUCCCGGGCCUUGUACACACCGCCCGUCACACCAUGGGAGUGGGUUGCAAAAGAAGUAGGUAGCUUAACCUUCG
rnacentral:rRNA from 2 species